GCCUUGUUAGCGCAGUAGGUAGCGCGUCAGUGUCAUAAUCUGAAGGUCGUGUUCAAUCCUACACAGGGCA